UGUUGAUGAAAGCAUUAACAGAGACAAUGAGUGUGCCCUCUGACCUGCAUCAGAUAAGUGGAUGUGCUUCAUACUUCUCACAGUCAGGAGUGGUGAACUUUGGGGUCAAGCUGGAGGGCUGUACCAAAUAGAGGGACAUCAGCAAUACCACAGGGCAGGAGAAUCUUAUCGAUCCAAUUAGCACUAACACAGAUCACUUACACAAGACUGUGAGUUCUCUAAAGAUCCAGAAAGCCAAGGUCCACGCUCUCUACAGAUGCUUGACUUCUAACAAAGCGGGACAAGAUUCACGAAACAUCCUUUUCCAUGUGACACAUGUUGUAAUGGCUGGACUUGCUCACCGGAUGGAAGCACUGGGGGAGUUGAAUUUCACAGCAUCGUACUGGACAUCCUCUUUCUGGGGUUGAGGCAGUUGGACAGUGGAGUACAGAGGCACUUCCUGGU